UUGUGUUAUGCUUGUUUCGCUUAAUUCCUCGGUUCUGUUGGUAUAUUCAAGUCCUUCAAAUCUUCAAUGAUAUUUUGGUUUAUAAUUACAUAUAUAUGUUAUUUAUCACAGGAUUCUGAUUUGAUGUCUUGUAAUUUAUAACUUUGAUGGCACAGAAAUUUGAAAUAGUCAUUGAGGAUCAAGCUGGAAAACAGUUCAAAUGUAGGAUCAAUUGAGGAAGCCGAAAUGACAAAUCAAUGGAUUGAUUUAUUUAGGGAUUUGAUAUAUGAAUACUUGAUUUGCUCGGCAUUGUAAAGACAUCCACAACUUUCUCUUUUUGUUAUGAGCAUUUUAAGAUUCCCUUCAUUAAGUGGCUACAAACCUUUUUGUGAAUCCCCAAAACAAAAGUAAAAAAUGACAUUCAUCCGGAAAUAUAAAUUUCUUUAUUUCUUUUUUUUUAAUUGAAAUUAUUUUAGUAUAAUUUCAUGAAAAACUUGAAUCUAAAAUAGAUUUUCUUUCUGCAGUACGGGUACCUGGUCGCAUGUGCAAGAGCGAAGUGAUCGUUAUAUUUUUUUUAGCUUUCCUACUUUUAUGGUUGCAUGUGCAAAAGUGAAGUGGUCAUUAUAUUUUUUUAGCUUUCUUACUUUCAUUUCUACGG
rnacentral:lncRNA from 1 species